GAGAUCUCUGGGAGAUUUUCGCCAUUUGAUAUUAUGUGGAGCUGGGAGGUCUCCUGUGGACCAGUGUCCUGAAGUUGGCUCUGACACCUCAGAGGCACAGCACUGCCUCCUGGCUGGAGCACCAAGAGCCUUUCAUCCACAUGGCUCAGAAUAAAAGGGAGAAAAAGUAGAGAGAAAGAAUUAGUAGAAAAAGAAAGAAAGAAAGAAAGAAAGAAAGAAAGAAAGAAAGAAAGAAAGAAAGAAAGAAA